rnacentral:rRNA from 1 species
AUUGAACGCUGGCGGCAUGCUUUACACAUGCAAGUCGAACGGUAACAGGCCGCAAGGUGCUGACGAGUGGCGAACGGGUGAGUAAUGCAUCGGAACGUGCCCAGUCGUGGGGGAUAACGCAGCGAAAGCUGCGCUAAUACCGCAUACGAUCUAUGGAUGAAAGCGGGGGACCGUAGGGCCUCGCGCGAUUGGAGCGGCCGAUGGCAGAUUAGGUAGUUGGUGGGGUAAAGGCACACCAAGCCAACGAUCUGUAGCUGGUCUGAGAGGACGACCAGCCCAACUGGGACUGAGACACGGCCCAGACUCCUACGGGAGGCAGCAGUGGGGAAUUUUGGACAAUGGGCGCAAGCCUGAUCCAGCAAUGCCGCGUGCAGGAAGAAGGCCUUCGGGUUGUAAACUGCUUUUGUACGGAACGAAACGGCUCUCACUAAUACUGGGGGCUAAUGACGGUACCGUAAGAAUAAGCACCGGCUAACUACGUGCCAGCAGCCGCCGUAACAC